UCAUCGCUAAGGUUCUGAUCUUUCCCUAACUCUUACUUAAUGAAAUCAUAAAGGCCUAUGGCUCUUUUGUUCGACUAAAGGUACAAAUAAUGUUUUGAGCUUCUGUUAUGAGAUAGGAGAUGGUUUAAAAUAAUUUUUUAAAUUGUCUAUACUAAAGAAAAAUGUAAAUAUAUGAGUCUUUAAAGAUUACUCCUCCCUGACUAGUAUCAAAAAAUGGCGAAUGGAACCCAUUUUUAAAAAAAAAUUUUGUGGUGUUUAUUCAAUUUGCUUCCAGCUUCCACUAAACUAAGAAAGACACAUUGAAAUGUGGAAAUGUUGGAACUAUCCUUUUUAAAGAAAAAAAAAAAAGCUUUUCAGCAGGGGAAACAACAUAACAACUACGAAAAUAUAUGGACAUGUCAAAAUAUUUCUAAAGGAACUAGAAUGAAUUUGUUAUUUAAAUUUUUUUUAAUGUUUGUGAGAGAGACAGAGCGUGAGUGGGGAGGGACAGAGAGAAAGGAAGACACAGAAGCUGAGCUGUCAGCACAGAGCCUGAAGUGGGACUCGAACCCUCUAACUGCAAGAUCAUGACCUGAGCUGAAGUUGGACACUUAACUGACUGAGCCACCCAGGCGCCUGUAAAAAAUAUUUCUAGGGGAACUAGAAUGAAUUUGAAUACUACCGACAAUAAGGACAUUUACUGUAAAAAGAAAAAGACACCCACUAAGUUUUCUUUGGACAGCUUUCUUAGAGAGACUGGAGCACUCCAAAUUACUCAACUGAAUAUUUCUAAAUUCUUAGAUAAACAUUAUUAUUAUGAAUUAAGCAAUUAUAAACAAUGUAUAAAUUAAAGCAUUUCAGUGUUUGUUAUAGUCUUCAUAUUAAUUUUAGACAAAAUAUUAUGGACUAGAAUGCUCAUAUGUGCUAUAUUUGCAUCAGUCUCUGAGGUGAUCUACAAUUACAGUAUUUGAUCAUAUUUCGUAUUUGACCUGAAGGAUAAUUUUAUUAUAUCCAGAAGUCCUUAGGAUAUGUAUUUUUAGCUUUAUUUUCUCACCUAUUACUAUGGGCAUGUAAUUUAUUUCAUAUAAGUUUCUUGGUUCAGAAUGAAGUAUAUAAUUAAACAUGGGUUCUUUGCAAAAAUAAAUCAUAUAGAUUCCAGGAAUGUAUUGUAUUAUGAAUGACAAUACCCCAUCGAGUGUAUAUUGUGUGAUAUGACUCUGUGUACACACACACACACACACACACACACACACACGCAUAUCAAUCCUUGUGGUGUGAAGUAAGGAAAGUUUAUUUUUGUAAAAGCAAUGCACUAUAAUAUAGCUCAAAGGACCCCUGGGAACUCUGCUCAGAUGUUUGGAUUUUGUGCAACAAAUAAUGGUGAGCCAAUUAAAGUUUUUCAUCAAGGGAUGAGAUCAGAGGUGUUUUAAGAAGAAUGAUUCUGGGAGGAAUUGGAAGCAGGAAGAAGAUUUAGAAGCCCAAACUGGCUCACAUCAGAGAACUCUUGAAAGUCCUAAUCAUCUUUGUAAAACAUUAUGAACAAUUGUUCUAUUAAGCUUAAGAAUAUCAUUUCAUGCUAUAAAUACCAUCUCAAACCAAAUUCUAGUAUAGAUGAACUACAGAUAUGUCAACCUUUUAAGGAAAAGGUUUAGAACAAACACAUUACACUGAGAAAAAUGAAUCUGUGAAUUCUCCCCACUCCUGAAAGUCGUAAAACAAAGCCACCCAGAUUGGAUUUAAAAAGCUGUCUCUGUCCGUCUCUUGGAGCCUCAGUGUUCUACAGGAGUAAACCUUGAGAAUGGUCCAUUCUACUGUUUCUCUUGGCAACGAGGGUUUAAAUGGAAAGGAGGCAACAAGAGCAAGAAAAUAAGGGCUAUUGUGAGGGAGCUGAGGAGUGGUUGGUGGUAAAGGAUGGCAGGAGAGGAGCACUAAAACGUUAAUAGCUGUCAUGUGGAAAUCCUUCUCAACAAAACCAAAGCUUCCAUUCUGAUUUCAGUUUGGUGCUAGAUGUUUCUCGUUUGAUAAUCUUCCUUUUAGCAUUCUUUUUGUUUAGGGGUGCCUGGGUGGUUCAGUUGGUUGGGCGUCAGACUCUUGACUUUGGCUCAGGUCACAAUCUCACAGUUCAUGAGUUCGAGCCCUACAUCAGGGUCUGUGCUGACAGUGCAGAGCCUGCUUGGGAUUCUCCUUCUUCCUUUCUCUGCCCCUCCCCUGCAUAUGCUCUCUCUCUCUCUC